AGAAUCAACGCUGGCGGCGUGCCUAACACAUGCAAGUCGAACGAGAAAGUGGAGCAAUCCAUGAGUAAAGUGGCGACCGGGUGAGUAACACGUGACUAACCUACCUUCAAGUGGGGGAUAACCUAGGGAAACCUGGGCUAAUACCGCAUAACAUCCUUAGAGUGGAAACUCCGGGGAUCAAAGGAGCAAUUCGCUGGAAGAGGGGGUCGCGGCUGAUUAGCUAGUUGGCGGGUAAUGGCCCACCAAGGCUUUGAUCGGUA
rnacentral:rRNA from 1 species